rnacentral:rRNA from 1 species
CCUACGUGUGGCAGCAGUGGGGAAUAUUGGACAAUGGGGGGAACCCUGAUCCAGCCAUACCGCGUGUGUGAAGAAGGCCCUCGGGUUGUAAAGCACUUUCAGUGAGGAAGAACGCCUGGUGGUUAAUACCCAUCAGGAAAGACAUCACUCACAGAAGAAGCACCGGCUAACUCCGUGCCAGCAGCCGCGGUAAUACGGAGGGUGCGAGCGUUAAUCGGAAUUACUGGGCGUAAAGCGCGCGUAGGUGGCUUGAUAAGCCGGUUGUGAAAGCCCCGGGCUCAACCUGGGAACGGCAUCCGGAACUGUCAAGCUAGAGUGCAGGAGAGGGAGGUAGAAUUCCCGGUGUAGCGGUGAAAUGCGUAGAGAUCGGGAGGAAUACCAGUGGCGAAGGCGGCCUUCUGGACUGACACUGACACUGAGGUGCGAAAGCGUGGGUAGCAAACAGGAUUAGAUACCCUAGUAGUC